rnacentral:misc_RNA from 1 species
AACGCACAUGGCGCUUCCGGGCAACUGGGAGCAUGCUUGUUUCAGUGUCCGUAACACCCCUCAAACGUGGCGACGCGUUUGGAGCAUGGGCUUCUCCGGGGGCGGCUUGCCCGUCCCUGGUGGCCUGAAGUGUGAAAGCCAAUGCAGUGCGCGCCGCGACCGCCGGCACACUUGUGUGUCGUGCGUCGUGAUGCGGCGGCCGUGGGUCUCGCCCGCGUCUCUGCCUGGUGUGGUGGGUGCGAGUGUGCGGCGUUUAUUCGCCCGCGUCUCAAACUAUAAUCCCCCAAGCAGUUGCGGGCGCUACAUGGGAACCGCGCCGUCGCGUGUGUUGCGCUGAAGGCAGGCCUUGUGCCUGCGGCAGUGUUACUCAAGCCUCAUAAUUGGACCUGAAAUCAAGUAAGAAGACCCGCUGGACUUAA